CAGAAAAUAAUUUAAUUAUAAAAUAUUAGUUUUGGGAAUUAAAAAUAAGGGAUUCCCCUUUUUUCUGA
rnacentral:tRNA from 1 species